rnacentral:tRNA from 1 species
GGAACGUUAGUUCAGUGGUGAGAACAGCCGUCUCAUAAGCGGAAAGUCCGGGGUUCGAUUCCCCGACGUUCCA